AACCCAAAAGAGUUCUUUAAUUAUCUCUCCUACUCAUCAUCAUCAUCAAAUAAAAAAAUAUUAAUAAAAAUAAAAACCAUCUACUAGUACUACUCUCUUGUUUCUCAUUUCUCCAGCGUCCGAUCUUGUCUCUCAAUCAAUCAAAUCUCUCCCCGCCAAAUACAAAUUUCUGUCCAACCCUUUUCAGAAAUGGCAGAUGGGUCAGCCAGUCCUGCAGGUGGGAGUCAUGAGAGUGGGGGUGAUCAGAGUCCAAGGUCGAAUGUGAGGGAGCAAGAUAGGUACCUUCCAAUUGCAAAUAUAAGCAGGAUCAUGAAGAAAGCGUUGCCUGCUAAUGGAAAGAUUGCUAAGGAUGCUAAGGAUACUGUGCAAGAAUGUGUUUCUGAGUUCAUAAGUUUCAUUACUAGCGAGGCAAGCGACAAGUGCCAAAAAGAGAAGAGGAAGACAAUCAAUGGUGAUGAUCUGCUCUGGGCAAUGGCCACUCUAGGUUUCGAAGAUUACAUUGAUCCCCUGAAGGCGUACUUAGCUAGGUACAGGGAGGUAAGUGGUUACCCUUUUUGUUAUUAUCAAAUUUUGAAUUAUUUGUUUACAAUAUUACUUGUAACGGUUCUAUCAUUUAUGUAUAUGCAUUUUUGCAAUUGCACAAAUAAACUCUCUCUCCAAUCGUUUAUUUAUCUAUACCAGUAAUAGCUAGAUAUUAAGUGGUAAGUGUAUUUACUAUUUACAGUCAUGAAUUAAGCUAACAUCAUUUCUUUUCUUCCUAUGUUUGGCUGAUGGUGCGCGAAAUCACUAUCGGACAGUUAGAGGGUGAUACUAAGGGAUCUGCUAGGGGAGAGGGAUCUGCUAAGAAGGAUCAGGUUGGAGCUCAGAUUUCAAAUCAACAGGUUGGAGCUGUAGCGAUACCUCUGGAUUUAAAUUAUGUUGCUGUCUUGGAUCGUAUGAACUGAGGACAUCAUCUAGUUAAUAGCCAUGCGAAGACGUUUACCAGUUUGUUUCUAUGGAUUUCACUAUUUGCUAUUAUGCAUCCUGUAGAUAUUGUAUUAUGUCUAUAGUACCUUCAAAUUCUAAUAGCGUUUACUAUCAGAUGAAAAGUACUUUAAUAUCCUUUCUCUGGAAGUUCCUAUUCUCAAAUUAUUCAAGGGAAGGAAACAUGUUUAAGGCUACAAAGGUCUCUACAAUUAGCUUAUCCUGUGGGAAUUCAUAUGUUAUGUACAUUUGGUGUUUCACAUAAUAUAUAUAGAAAUGAAAUUUCCAGA